rnacentral:rRNA from 1 species
GGCAGCCGCGGUAAUUCCAGCUCCAAUAGCGUAUAUUAAAGUUGUUGCAGUUAAAAAGCUCGUAGUUGAAUUUCGGGAUCAAUAUGUCGGUCGUGCCUUCGGUACGUACUGGUAUCAUUGGUCUCUCCUUUCUGACGAACCAUGAUGUCAUUAAUUUGGUGUUAUGGGGAGUUAGGACUGUUACUUUGAAAAAUUAGAGUGUUUAAAGCAGGCUUUAGCUUGAAUACAUUAGCAUGGAAUAAUGAAAUAGGACGUUCGAACCUAUUUUGUUGGUUUCUAGGAUCAACGUAAUGAUUAAUAGGGAUAGUUGGGGGCAUUAGUAUUCAAUUGUCAGAGGUGAAAUUCUUGGAUUUAUUGAAGACUAACUACUGCGAAAGCAUUUGCCAAGGAUGUUUUCAUUAAUCAAGAACGAAAGUUAGGGGAUCGAAGACGAUCAGAUACCGUCGUAGU